UUAUACAACUUUCAACAACGGAUCUCUUGGCUCUCGCAUCGAUGAAGAACGCAGCGAAAUGCGAUAAGUAAUGUGAAUUGCAGAAUUCAGUGAAUCAUCGAAUCUUUGAACGCACCUUGCGCUCCUUGGU
rnacentral:rRNA from 1 species